rnacentral:rRNA from 1 species
CCUACGGGAGGCAGCAGUGGGGAAUAUUGCACAAUGGGCGCAAGCCUGAUGCAGCAACGCCGCGUGAGGGACGAAGGCCUUCGGGUUGUAAACCUCUUUUAGUAGGGAAGAAGCGACUGGGUUUUCCUGGGAGUGACGGUACCUGCAGAAAAAGCACCGGCUAACUACGUGCCAGCAGCCGCGGUAAUACGUAGGGUGCAAGCGUUGUCCGGAAUUAUUGGGCGUAAAGAGCUCGUAGGCGGUUUGUCGCGUCUGCUGUGAAAACCCGAGGCUCAACCUCGGGCCUGCAGUGGGUACGGGCAGACUAGAGUGCGGUAGGGGAGAUUGGAAUUCCUGGUGUAGCGGUGGAAUGCGCAGAUAUCAGGAGGAACACCAAUGGCAAGGCAGAUCUCUGGGCCGUAACUGACGCUGAGGAGCGAAAGCAUGGGGAGCGAACAGGAUUAGAUACCCUGGUAGUCCAUGCCGUAAACGUUGGGAACUAGAUGUGGGGAUCAUUCCACGGUCUCCGUGUCGCAGCUAACGCAUUAAGUUCCCCGCCUGGGGAGUACGGCCGCAAGGCUAAAACUCAAAGGAAUUGACGGGGGCCCGCACAAGCGGCGGAGCAUGCGGAUUAAUUCGAUGCAACGCGAAGAACCUUACCAAGGCUUGACAUAUACCGGAAACGGCUGGAAACAGUCGCCCCGCAAGGUCGGUAUACAGGUGGUGCAUGGUUGUCGUCAGCUCGUGUCGUGAGAUGUUGGGUUAAGUCCCGCAACGAGCGCAACCCUCGUCCUAUGUUGCCAGCACGUAAUGGUGGGAACUCAUGGGAUACUGCCGGGGUCAACUCGGAGGAAGAUGGGGAUGACGUCAAAUCAUCAUGCCCCUUAUGUCUUGGGCUUCACGCAUGCUACAAUGGCCGGUACAAAGGGCUGCGAUACCGCAAGGUGGAGCGAAUCCCAAAAAGCCGGUCUCAGUUCGGAUUGAGGUCUGCAACUCGACCUCAUGAAGUCGGAGUCGCUAGUAAUCGCAGAUCAGCAACGCUGCGGUGAAUACGUUCCCGGGCCUUGUACACACCGC